GCAGGGGGAGAGCCAAGGGCUGCUCGCGCCCAAAGGCCGACGGCCAUGGAUCCAGAGCACCCUGCGACCACCAUGGGAGACGAGCAGAAGACUCGCGCGAGCUGGAAGAGGAAGGGAGGGCGCGCGUCAGGGAGAUGGAGCGCCAGGAACAGACGCGCCAUGCCUGGGAGCUUGGAGAGGGAGACGGCCAGGGAGCUGUGAACCGAAGGAAGGAAAUCCGGGCACGCGACGGAAUUCAGCCGGGCGCCAUGAGAGCCGUGCGCACGUGGGAGAUCCGGCGAGCUGCAGGUUCUCUAUCGACCGCAUCGUGGC
rnacentral:misc_RNA from 1 species